rnacentral:rRNA from 1 species
UACGGGGGGGCAAGCGUUGUUCGGAAUUACUGGGCGUAAAGGGCUCGUAGGUGGCCAACUAAGUCAGACGUGAAAUCCCUCGGCUCAACCGGGGAAUGGCAUCUGAUACUGGAUGGCUUGAGUUUGGGAGAGGGACGCGGAAUUCCAGGUGUAGCGGUGAAAUGCGCAGAUAUCAGGAAGAACACCGAUGGCGAAAGCAGCUCUCUGGGACGGUACUGACGCUGAGGCGCGAAAGCGUGGGGAGCGAACAGG